rnacentral:rRNA from 1 species
UACGUAGGGUGCAAGCGUUAAUCGGAAUUACUGGGCGUAAAGCGUGCGCAGGCGGUCCGUUAAGACAGAUGUGAAAUCCCCGGGCUUAACCUGGGAACUGCAUUUGUGACUGGCGGACUCGAGUAGUGGCAGAGGGGGGUAGAAUUCCACGUGUAGCAGUGAAAUGCGUAGAGAUGUGGAGGAAUACCCGAUGGCGAAGGCAGCCCCCUGGGCCCAAUACUGACGCUCAUGACACGA